UACGUAGGGUGCAAGCGUUAAUCGGAAUUACUGGGCGUAAAGCGUGCGCAGGCGGCUUUGCAAGACAGAUGUGAAAUCCCCGGGCUUAACCUGGGAACUGCAUUUGUGACUGCAUGGCUGGAGUGCGGCAGAGGGGGAUGGAAUUCCGCGUGUAGCAGUGAAAUGCGUAGAUAUCUGGAGGAAUACCGGUGGCGAAGGCGGCAUCCUGGACCGGCAUUGACGCUGAGGAGCGAAAGCUAGGGGAGCAAACGGG
rnacentral:rRNA from 1 species